rnacentral:rRNA from 1 species
GAUGAACGCUGGCGGCGUGCCUAAUACAUGCAAGUCGAACGAGAGUGCUUGCACUCUAGUGGCGAACGGGUGAGUAACACGUAGGUAACCUGUCCCAAAGACGAGGAUAACAGUUGGAAACGAUUGCUAAUACUCGAUAGGUAAUAAGAAGGCAUCUUCUUAUUAUUAAAGAUCCGAAUGGAUUACUCUGGGAGGGGCCUGCGUCGCAUUAGCUAGUUGGUAAGGUG